rnacentral:rRNA from 1 species
AAGCUUAACUCCAGAAAGUCUGAAGAGACUGCAAGACUUGAGAUCGGGUGAGGUUAAACGUACUUUCAGGGUAGGGGUAAAAUCCUGUAAUCCCGGAAGGACGACCAGUGGCGAAAGCGUUUAACUAGAACGAAUCUGACGGUAAGGAACGAAGGCUAGGGUAGCAAACCGGAUUAGAUACCCGGGUAGUCCUAGCUGUAAACAUUGCCCAUUUGAUGUUGCUUUCCCGUUGAGGGAAGGCAGUGUCGGAGCGAAGGUGUUAAAUGGGCCGCUUGGGAAGUAUGGUCGCAAGACUGAAACUUAAAGGAAUUGGCGGGGGAGCACCGCAACGGGAGGAAUGUGCGGUUUAAUUGGAUUCAACGCCGGAAAACUCACCGGGAACGACCUGUGCAUGAGAGUCAACUUGACGAGCUUACUCGAUAGCAGGAGAGGUGGUGCAUGGCCGUCGUCAGCUCGUACCGUAGGGCGUUCACUUAAGUGUGAUAACGAGCGAGACCCACAUCUUUAAUUGCAAAUGUAUAUGGGAAUAUGCAUGCACUUUAGAGAAACCGCCAGCGCUAAGCUGGAGGAAGGAGUGGUCGACGGCAGGUCAGUACGCCCCGAAUUUCCCGGGCUACACGCGCAUUACAAGGAACGGGACAAUACGUUGCAACCUGAAAGAGGGAGCCAAUCGCGA